GCACCUCUCUGAUUAUGCUAAAUAUUAAUUUACAAAAAUUUGCGAAUGAUUUUAGUUGCCAUACCUCAUAUGAAAUCAAGCUUGUAAAGGAAAUAAAGCUGUUGAUCUUGCCUUUUUCUUUACAGUCAUUCCAAGAAUGAAAUACUUCAUGGGUCUGGAUUUCUACUUCUACACAAGAACCUUUGAUCCCUUUGAUAUAUGUAAAAUGUCAAAGGCUGCAAUCACUAAGCAUUUUAGAAGGGGUACUUGGUUAUGUGUGUUUGUGCCAUAAACACUAACAGUAGCACCAAGAUGCUCUUCGUAUGCAUAGUUAGUUGACCAAAGCCAAAAAAAAAAAAAAAAAAAGAGAGAGAGAGAGAGAGAGCGAAAUGUUGCACUCUUCGAAGCCCCUCUUCCCUUUGUGAGAUGAUUAGAUCUUAUGCUUCUCUUUUGUUUUGCAGGCAGGGGCCAUCCACAUAACUGCCACACCAGGAAUCUCCAAUAUGCAGGGACAAGAUAACACCUGUUCUGCAUCAGGCCCUGGGACAUCCAGCUAUAUACUGAGGCAGGGGCCAUCCACAUAACUGCCACACCAGGAAUCUCCAAUAUGCAGGGACAAGAUAACACCUGUUCUGCAUCAGGCCCUGGGACAUCCAGCUAUAUACUGAGGCAGGGGCCAUCCACAUAACUGCCACACCAGGAAUCUCCAAUAUGCAGGGACAAGAUAACACCUGUUCUGCAUCAGGCCCUGGGACAUCCAGCUAUAUACUGAGGCAGGGGCCAUCCACAUAACUGCCACACCAGGAAUCUCCAAUAUGCAGGGACAAGAUAACACCUGUUCUGCAUCAGGCCCUGGGACAUCCAGCUAUAUACUGAGGCAGGGGCCAUCCACAUAACUGCCACACCAGGAAUCUCCAAUAUGCAGGGACAAGAUAACACCUGUUCUGCAUCAGGCCCUGGGACAUCCAGCUAUAUACUGAGGCAGGGGCCAUCCACAUAACUGCCACACCAGGAAUCUCCAAUAUGCAGGGACAAGAUAACACCUGUUCUGCAUCAGGCCCUGGGACAUCCAGCUAUAUACUGAGGCAGGGGCCAUCCACAUAACUGCCACACCAGGAAUCUCCAAUAUGCAGGGACAAGAUAACACCUGUUCUGCAUCAGGCCCUGGGACAUCCAGCUAUAUACUGAGGCAGGGGCCAUCCACAUAACUGCCACACCAGGAAUCUCCAAUAUGCAGGGACAAGAUAACACCUGUUCUGCAUCAGGCCCUGGGACAUCCAGCUAUAUACUGAGGCAGGGGCCAUCCACAUAACUGCCACACCAGGAAUCUCCAAUAUGCAGGGACAAGAUAACACCUGUUCUGCAUCAGGCCCUGGGACAUCCAGCUAUAUACUGAGGCAGGGGCCAUCCACAUAACUGCCACACCAGGAAUCUCCAAUAUGCAGGGACAAGAUAACACCUGUUCUGCAUCAGGCCCUGGGACAUCCAGCUAUAUACUGAGGCAGGGGCCAUCCACAUAACUGCCACACCAGGAAUCUCCAAUAUGCAGGGACAAGAUAACACCUGUUCUGCAUCAGGCCCUGGGACAUCCAGCUAUAUACUGAGGCAGGGGCCAUCCACAUAACUGCCACACCAGGAAUCUCCAAUAUGCAGGGACAAGAUAACACCUGUUCUGCAUCAGGCCCUGGGACAUCCAGCUAUAUACUGAGGCAGGGGCCAUCCACAUAACUGCCACACCAGGAAUCUCCAAUAUGCAGGGACAAGAUAACACCUGUUCUGCAUCAGGCCCUGGGACAUCCAGCUAUAUACUGAGGCAGGGGCCAUCCACAUAACUGCCACACCAGGAAUCUCCAAUAUGCAGGGACAAGAUAACACCUGUUCUGCAUCAGGCCCUGGGACAUCCAGCUAUAUACUGAGGCAGGGGCCAUCCACAUAACUGCCACACCAGGAAUCUCCAAUAUGCAGGGACAAGAUAACACCUGUUCUGCAUCAGGCCCUGGGACAUCCAGCUAUAUACUGAGGCAGGGGCCAUCCACAUAACUGCCACACCAGGAAUCUCCAAUAUGCAGGGACAAGAUAACACCUGUUCUGCAUCAGGCCCUGGGACAUCCAGCUAUAUACUGAGGUGGUGCUUCGAACCUCAGGUGACUUGACCUCGUUGGCAGCAUCCAGCGUGUCUGGCCUCUGUCUCUUCAGUGAAGAUUCAAGUGCAAUUAUACAGGAGUGGGACCUCUGUCAUCUCCCUGGUGGAUGUAUAUCACAGUAUUAAGUUGUCAUGGUUCUGAACCUCCCACCAGGGUUGAGAUUCAGGCCUUGACUAGGGUAUCUUUUUUUGCCGACUUCUGUCUCUCUUCCAGAGGGAAUGAUAGCCGCUUCUUGUUGAUUAACCUGGAGAUGUACCCUUAACCAGAAUGUCUAGAGUUUGAUGCUUGGGGAAGAUGACUUAGUGGCAUAUAUGGAGAAGGUUCCGCAAGUCCCUGUUCCACACAAAACUUCUGAACUCCAGGUUGGCUCUGGUAAUAGAAUCCUGAGUUAUUGCAGCCUGACCUUGUAUAGAUAUUCUCUCGACUGUCAAGUUUCUGCCCACACUUGCUUUAUUGGGCCAUUCAUCUAGAGCAAAGAAUUCUGGGCAUCAUUACAAAUGGAUGUCUGAGUGGACUUCGGCACAUGUUUUCUCUCUCUCUCUCUCUCCAUAUAUAUAUAUAUAUAUCCUGUUUGUUUUUGUGGGUAGAAUGGGAGUUGCAGAGGAUGAGAGAGACCCUUCAGCAGGCUCCACAUGCCUUGCAUAGCAAGACACGGUGCUCAACCAUAACCCUGAUGUCAUUACCUGAGCCAAAGCCAAAAGCUGGUCCCUUAACUGAAAGAACUUCGCAGGCAUUCCUGGACAGUCUUUGUCUUUAUGGAAGGGACCGUAAGAACCCCCUGCUGUUCUAAAAUCUACCGAAUUGGGGAGUAUUUCCACGUCUGCAGUGGUCGUAUACCCUCUCAGGCCCAGAGAUACAUAGCUGUUCUUGGUGGUGGAGAAAAGCCCUUGGCUCCCAUGUUCUCAUAGAUGGGGAGGAAGUCCUCACUGCCUGAUGCUGAACUGUCGAGGUUUUUGUGCCCUGGUGCCAACAGGUCUUCCAGAAGAGCAUCUUUGUAAAAGAUGAAAUUAAUUUGCCAGCCCCCGGGUGGCACAGAUG